CGCAAGCCGACUUUCCUUCCCUUCCCCCUCCACCCUCAGCGGUGACGUCACUUCGCCACGCCCCCUUUUCGGAGGGGCGGGGCGCUUUGUAACGGUCACUCGUGGCUGCUGCUGCUGCUGAGGGAGAUUUAAAUUCCCGCCAAAAAAUAAGUCUUUUUACACUGUAGAUUUAAUACUAUUGCAACCCAUAGAGUUGUAGCUUUGGGGAGGCCCCAAAACUCUUUUGGCAGGGAGCCAAGGAAGUUAAAGGGGUAUCAAACCGCAUUCGUUCCACAAUGUAGAUCAGGCCUGGGCCAACUUGGGCCCUCCAGGUGUUUUGAACUUGCAACUCCCACAAUUCCGAACACCACAGACAUCAGAAGAGCUGCAAGACCAAGACAGAGGUCCUCCUGAAGCGUCUUCCAAGAAAAAUAAAACCAAACCAAAAAGUCCCACGGCGAUCAGCAAGUGGUGACGGGGGCAGGACUGUGAAAUCUGGAAGCCCCUCGUAACAGACUGGCAUGUGGGCAGUGGUCAUUCUACCCAGGGGCGGCUGAAGCUAUAAGCUGGGACCCAAAGUGGCUGAAGCAUGUGAUCCACCACCAAACUAUGACCCUUUUUUUCUGUUUUCUGAUGCAGCUGAAAGUUGUGCAAAUAUGCUUAUUACAAACUGACUGAAACAAUGGGAAAUUGUGAUGUUUGUAUAAGCCAUGCCUUUUAGUGCAGCUUUCUCUUCUUUGGAAGUAAUAGCUAAGUACAUUUUGUUUCACAGUUUGUCAAAAACAGAUGGCAGCUAAAUUUUUCAUGCAGUUCUUUUAAAUACUUAUAAUGUGAAUCUAAGUCCAUUUUACUUCAACUUUCAUAACUAAAAAUAAGGAAAGGAAAGAAAGGAAAGAAAAAUGACCCCAACGGGAGUAGCAAAUAUGUUCACAUGGUUUUGUUUGCUGAGAGGGGGAAAUGUCAUUGCUUUCUCACAGUUUGACAUAAAAGAGACUGGAGCAAUAUAUACUAGAGGCUAAUAAUAGCCGUAGCCAGAAAACCUGGAACUAAAAAUGUCCAUGGACAUAGCUGUAAGGGACAGAGAUAAUUCAACUCUCACCCUGCUCCCCUUCUAUGGGGCAGAGCAGACUCAUUAUCCCUCUCAUAUAGCAUUAAAAAAAAGCCCAUAGAACAAUCACAAGAGAAAUCUCCUGGCUAAGUAAAAGCAGCAGGUCUCUGUAUUUUAAAAAUAACGGAAUUCACAAUUAAAUUUUGGGUCAUCUUUUGUGACUUCAAAACAUACUGUGGAUCUCCUUGUGGAGCAGAAUCAUACAAUGUUCUGUUCCUUUAUCAUCAAAGGAGCUGUGCAAGGCUGGUUAGGCUGGGAAAGAAUAAAUGGCCCAAAAUCACUCAGUGAGUUUCGUGGCUCACUUGAUAUUAGAACCUGGAUCUCUUCUCAAACUCUGGUCAAUUCUCAAACCCAGGGAUGAGUGAAAUAUGACCCUGGGGCUGCACACUGCCACAAAAGUCUAUGCUUAUGGUUUGAUUAAUUCAGAGAAUUUUUACUCAGCGUGGCUUACAAAAUGUUAAUUUGCCCUCAGGCCUACAAUCUACAUAGGAUAAAUAAGAUGUACUGUAUAAGGCACGAUGUAGCUGUGUCUUACUGGCUGCCUCCCUCUCCCUCAAUGAACAGCAGAAUUGCAGUUGAAGAUAGUGUUUAUUUAUUUAUUUACAGCAUUUAUAUUCCGCCCUUCUCACCCCGGAGGGGACUCAGGGCGGAUCACAUUACACAUAUAGGCAAACAUUCAAUGCCUUUUAACAUAGAACAAAGACAAGACAAACAUAGGCUCCGAGCGGGCCUCGAACUCAUGACCUCCUGGUCAGAGUGAUUCAUUGCAGCUGGUUGCAGCUGGCUUGCUCUCCAGCCUGCGCCACAGCCCGGGCUCAGGCUAGGAGUGUUAUCGAAACCCCAGGACCCCAAACUGAACAUCGAAAUCCACAGUCCCAUAAGUGCCAGCAAUGAAGCCCACAGUAACUUUUUCCCCACUUUUAGCUGACUUCUCAGUGAACUCGCCACAAGUUGCACAAGCACUACAUACCCACCCCACACCCCAGGGCAUGGUUCCACAUUUAGUUUAGGAAUGACCUUAAUCCCUUCACAGUGCCCUGGGAGAUACAUAUCCAGUUUAGGAAGAGUCACUGGGUUCUUUCCAGAUGUUAUCUUAAUAUUUAUCUCAGAACGUUUCCCCAUCUUGAUUUCCAAAUCAGACCCCUAACUUUGGGAUAACAUUCAAAGUGUGCCAACACCCUCAGCAUCCAUUGUAUGAUCAGUCAGAUCCCAUUGUCCUUUUGCGGCCAGGCAGCAAGAGGGCCAUCAGAUCCCAUUAUCUCUGAUGUAGCCUCCUAUGCCCCUUUCCUGGACGGACCAAGAACAGUUUAUUAAAUCUCCCUCUACAACUGAAGCCAACCAACAGCAAUGAUGGAUGGCGUUCCUGGGCCUAUCAGAGAACGUACCUAACCUGGCACUGAUUUGCAUUAAUCAACAACAGAUGCAGCAAAGUCUCUUUGUUUUGAAUAGAUUUCAAAGCAAUAAAAAUAAAACUAUACGCUUGAAAUUGUAUUUAUGUCAGUGUUUGGAGUGCAGACUCUGCUGACAUCCUCUUUUGGCCAAAGGAUAAUAAAGCCUCUGAUCUUUGCCUUCA